AUACGGAGGGUGCAAGCGUUGUUCGGAAUCACUGGGCGUAAAGGGCGCGCAGGCGGUUUGGUAAGUCGGAUGUGAAAGCCCCGGGCUCAACCCGGGAAGUGCGUCCGAUACUGGCAGACUUGAGUACGGGAGAGGGUAGCGGAAUUCCCGGUGUAGAGGUGAAAUUCGUAGAUAUCGGGAGGAACACCAGUGGCGAAGGCGGCUACCUGGACCGAUACUGACGCUGAGACGCGAAAGCGUGGGGAGCAAACAGGAUUAGAUACCCCUGUAGUCC
rnacentral:rRNA from 1 species